UAGAUGACGCUGGCGGCGUGCCUAAUACAUGCAAGUCGAGCGAACGGACGAGAAGCUUGCUUCUCUGAUGUUAGCGGCGGACGGGUGAGUAACACGUGGAUAACCUACCUAUAAGACUGGGAUAACUUCGGGAAACCGGAGCUAAUACCGGAUAAUAUUUUGAACCGCAUGGUUCAAAAGUGAAAGACGGUCUUGCUGUCACUUAUAGAUGGAUCCGCGCUGCAUUAGCUAGUUGGUAAGGUAACGGCUUACCAAGGCAACGAUGCAUAGCCGACCUGAGAGGGUGAUCGGCCACACUGGAACUGAGACACGGUCCAGACUCCUACGGGAGGCAGCAGUAGGGAAUCUUCCGCAAUGGGCGAAAGCCUGACGGAGCAACGCCGCGUGAGUGAUGAAGGUCUUCGGAUCGUAAAACUCUGUUAUUAGGGAAGAACAUAUGUGUAAGUAACUGUGCACAUCUUGACGGUACCUAAUCAGAAAGCCACGGCUAACUACGUGCCAGCAGCCGCGGUAAUACGUAGGUGGCAAGCGUUAUCCGGAAUUAUUGGGCGUAAAGCGCGCGUAGGCGGUUUUUUAAGUCUGAUGUGAAAGCCCACGGCUCAACCGUGGAGGGUCAUUGGAAACUGGAAAACUUGAGUGCAGAAGAGGAAAGUGGAAUUCCAUGUGUAGCGGUGAAAUGCGCAGAGAUAUGGAGGAACACCAGUGGCGAAGGCGACUUUCUGGUCUGUAACUGACGCUGAUGUGCGAAAGCGUGGGGAUCAAACAGGAUUAGAUACCCUGGUAGUCCACGCCGUAAACGAUGAGUGCUAAGUGUUAGGGGGUUUCCGCCCCUUAGUGCUGCAGCUAACGCAUUAAGCACUCCGCCUGGGGAGUACGACCGCAAGGUUGAAACUCAAAGGAAUUGACGGGGACCCGCACAAGCGGUGGAGCAUGUGGUUUAAUUCGAAGCAACGCGAAGAACCUUACCAAAUCUUGACAUCCUUUGACAACUCUAGAGAUAGAGCCUUCCCCUUCGGGGGACAAAGUGACAGGUGGUGCAUGGUUGUCGUCAGCUCGUGUCGUGAGAUGUUGGGUUAAGUCCCGCAACGAGCGCAACCCUUAAGCUUAGUUGCCAUCAUUAAGUUGGGCACUCUAAGUUGACUGCCGGUGACAAACCGGAGGAAGGUGGGGAUGACGUCAAAUCAUCAUGCCCCUUAUGAUUUGGGCUACACACGUGCUACAAUGGACAAUACAAAGGGCAGCGAAACCGCGAGGUCAAGCAAAUCCCAUAAAGUUGUUCUCAGUUCGGAUUGUAGUCUGCAACUCGACUACAUGAAGCUGGAAUCGCUAGUAAUCGUAGAUCAGCAUGCUACGGUGAAUACGUUCCCGGGUCUUGUACACACCGCCCGUCACACCACGAGAGUUUGUAACACCCGAAGCCGGUGGAGUAACCUUUUAGGAGCUAGCCGUCGAAGGUGGGACAAAUGAUGGG
rnacentral:rRNA from 1 species